GCUCCAGCCCUGGCGCCGAGGGACCGGCCACCCCCUCCCGGCCCCGACGGUCACUUACGGUGGGGGCGGGUGCCGCCGGGAGCGCUGCCGGCCGCGGGGACGGACCCCGGCCCGCCUGCGACAGGGGUGCCGGCCGGGAGGGGGGCGGCCUCCCGUUCGGUGUCGGAAGGGUGAAUGUUUGCCGGAAACCCGGGCGUUUAUUCCACUUGGCAGAAGCGCAGGGGGUCGGGGAGGGGGCAGGGGUGCGACGGGCGGCACGCGGUGCCCGGGGAAGGGGGCGAAGAGCGGGGCCCGAUGUGCCCGCUCGCCGCUCGGCUCUCGGAUCCGCUACCCGGUGGCUGCCGCCGUGAGUCACCCCCGGCCGCGGCAGCGUCAGCCUCGCCGCGGCGUUGGCAGCCAGACGAGCCGCGGCGCGGAGCCGCCGCUGUCCUCGCAUGAACCCGGCGGGGCUGCCAGCGCCAGCCGAGUGCGCGCAAGGCGAGAGCCGAGGCUGUGCCGGCGCGGCGGCGUGCGACACCCCUGCGGCGGGGAUGGCGGAGCCGGGGCGGGGGGCGGGAGCGGGGGGGGGCAGCCCCUCGGCGGCCGGGCCCGAAAGAAAUACAGAUGCAAAAGCAGGACGUGGGUAAAUGAGAGAAGAUAAGGUAUUGCUCCUGCAAGCAGAACAUCCUGUCUUCAAAGUGGGUCAGAAUCACCUUGCAGAAGGAUAUGCCAAUGCCUGUUGUUAAGGGGUUUGUGUGUGUGUUGAGGCCAGGUGAAGGACAACUGUCUCCACUGAUGCUACCUUAGAGGAUCCUGGACAAAGCAACACAGAGAGAUUCCACAGAGGGAAAGCCAGCACCUACAAUGCUUGUGAAGGGAGUGGGUAAAACCACAGACCAUGGAAUUUGGGCUUUCUGAUACAGAUGGAAUCCAGAUUGAUGAGAAGAUGAGAAGCAGGCACUCCAAUCAUGUACACUCUGGGCAAGGUGAGGGGCUUGUUCUUAGGGACCUGGAAGUGUUUACUCCUGAGCUGCUGGACACUGAGAAGGGUGCAGUCCACCCAACAGUAGCACUUUCUGUUGAGCAUUCUCCACUGAAAAUGUUUUGGUUUUCUCUGUAAGCAAGCUUAUUCUUGUAUCUCCAAAGUGAUGGGAAGUAAUGCCAAUUUGUCUUUCUGUGUGUUGUCACCAGCUCCUCAACUCAGCAUGUCUUGCUGGUAACUUAUCCUUCCAUUGCAAUAAAGCAGCCUUGGUCUUUCA
rnacentral:lncRNA from 1 species